rnacentral:misc_RNA from 1 species
UCAAUGGAGUUGUCUUUGACU